AUUGAACGCUGGCGGCAUGCUUUACACAUGCAAGUCGAACGGUAACAGGCCUUCGGGUGCUGACGAGUGGCGAACGGGUGAGUAAUGCAUCGGAACGUACCCAGAGGUGGGGGAUAACGCAGCGAAAGCUGUGCUAAUACCGCAUGUGAUCUGCGGAUGACAGCGGGGGACCGAGCAGCAAUGUUUGGCCUCGCGCCUUUGGAGCGGCCGAUGUCGGAUUAGCUAGUUGGUGGGGUAAAGGCCUACCAAGGCGACGAUCCGUAGCUGGUCUGAGAGGACGACCAGCCACACUGGGACUGAGACACGGCACAGGGUCCGACGGGAGGCAGAGGUGGGGAAUUUUGGAAGAUGGGCGCAAGCCUGAUCCAGCAAUGCCGCGUGCGGGAAGAAGGCCUUCGGGUUGUAAACCGCUUUUGGCAGGAACGAAACGGUGUCCGCUAAUACCGGGCGCUAAUGACGGUACCUGCAGAAUAAGCACCGGCUAACUACGUG
rnacentral:rRNA from 1 species